CAGCAGCCGCGGUAAUACAGAGGGUGCGAGCGUUAAUCGGAUUUACUGGGCGUAAAGCGUGCGUAGGCGGCUUUUUAAGUCGGAUGUGAAAUCCCUGAGCUUAACUUAGGAAUUGCAUUCGAUACUGGGAAGCUAGAGUAUGGGAGAGGAUGGUAGAAUUCCAGGUGUAGCGGUGAAAUGCGUAGAGAUCUGGAGGAAUACCGAUGGCGAAGGCGGCCAUCUGGCCUAAUACUGACGCUGAGGUACGAAAGCAUGGGGAGCAAACAGGAUUAGAUACCCCAGUAGUCCCUGUCUCUUAUAA
rnacentral:rRNA from 1 species